UACGUAGGGCGCGAGCGUUGUCCGGAAUUAUUGGGCGUAAAGAGCUCGUAGGCGGUCUGUCGCGUCGGAUGUGAAAGCCCGGGGCUUAACUCCGGGUCUGCAUUCGAUACGGGCAGGCUAGAGUGUGGUAGGGGAGAUCGGAAUUCCUGGUGUAGCGGUGAAAUGCGCAGAUAUCAGGAGGAACACCGGUGGCGAAGGCGGAUCUCUGGGCCAUUACUGACGCUGAGGAGCGAAAGCGUGGGGAGCGAACAGG
rnacentral:rRNA from 1 species